rnacentral:rRNA from 1 species
GGUGAACGCUAGCGGUGCGCCUAACACAUGCAAGUCGAGCGGUAGAAUUUUGAAGCUUGCUUUAAAAUUUGAGAGCGGCGAACGGGUGAGUAACACGUUGGCAUCUGCCCCCAAGUCAGGGAUAGCCAUUGGAAACGAUGAUUAAUACCGGAUGUGCUCUUCGGAGUAAAGAUUUAUCGCUUGGGGAGGAGCCUGCGUUCUAUCAGCUUGUUGGUAAGGUAACGGCUUACCAAGGCUAUGACGGAUAGCUGGUCUGAGAGGAUGACCAGCCACAAUGAAACUGAGACACGGUUCAUACUCCUACGGGAGGCAGCAGUGAGGAAUCUUCCACAAUGGGCGAAAGCCUGAUGGAGCGACACCGCGUGAAGGAUGACGGUCUAACGAUUGUAAACUUCUUUUCUGAGGGAGCAAAAUGAGAGUACCUCAGGAAUAAGGGACGGCUAAUUACG